rnacentral:rRNA from 1 species
AGUGAACGCUGGCGGUAGGCCUAACACAUGCAAGUCGAACGGCAGCACAGGAGAGCUUGCUCUCUGGGUGGCGAGUGGCGGACGGGUGAGGAAUACAUCGGAAUCUACUCUGUCGUGGGGGAUAACGUAGGGAAACUUACGCUAAUACCGCAUACGACCUACGGGUGAAAGCAGGGGACCUUCGGGCCUUGCGCGAUUGCAUGAGCCGAUGUGGGAUUAGCUAGGUGGCGGGGUAAAGGCCCACCAAGGCGACGAUCCGUAGCUGGUCUGAGAGGAUGAUCAGCCACACUGGAACUGAGACACGGUCCAGACUCCUACGGGAGGCAGCAGUGGGGAAUAUUGGACAAUGGGCGCAAGCCUGAUCCAGCCAUACCGCGUGGGUGAAGAAGGCCUUCGGGUUGUAAAGCCCUUUUGUUGGGAAAGAAAUCCAGCUGGCUAAUACCCGGUUGGGAUGACGGUACCCAAAGAAUAAGCACCGGCUAACUUCGUGCCAGCAGCCGCGGUAA